UCUGAAAGUCUGCAUUGGAAGGAACCGUUUAUCAGCCUUUCUUCAGUCUGCAGCAAGUUAUGUAAGCAUCUCUAGGUACCCCAUGUCGCCUGACCGAUAACAACUACCAAGCUACUGUUUUACUAUGAGUCAUGUCCAUCAAGGAAACAUUUGUCGGUGAAUCUAAAUGUUCUCCUUUCUGGCCAGAGGUGUUUGAGUGUGUGUGAGAUGCUUGUUGUGGACACCUUGGGUUGACAGGUCUUUCCAUGGACACAGACAUCACUGAAGGUGACAUCAUAUAGUGCAGCUAACAGUGUGUAUGUUCCUGAGACGGUUACUGCCUUUUAUUUUCCAUGUAUUUUUCUAGCUUUUAAUGUUUCAUUAUUGUUCUUUACAUGUUUGUAUUUCCUCUUAUUCAGUCAAAGGACUGCACUGCUGAACGGAUCUGCAAAGACCUGGAACAAAUAUGGGAAGUCUUGCACCCCAGCCUCUUCAACUCCACACCCCUGGUAUUAACCCAGGCACACAGGCCCAGUGGAUUAACAACAGCCUUCCCAGAACAGUGGUGUUUACUCGGGAACAAAACCAGCAGCUAUUGAACCUUUUUUCUCUCUUUUAUUCUAUUGGCGCAUAUCUGAAGUAUAGUUGAAGAGCAUUGAGAAUACAUUAGAUACUGUUUCUCAAUGUAUCUCUAUACAAGCGAGGUAUCAAAAGUAUUAUUCAUUGUGCGGCUCCAACAAGUGAUCGUGGGGCAAAUAACUGUUAAACAGUUCCUAUGCAAAAGCAAAGAGAAUGGUGCAAUGCUUAAAUUUUACUAUGAGAGAUUGAGAGUUUUCUUAGGGUUUUUAAAAAGAUUGGGAUAUCCAUUUCCACAUCGUAAAUCUAAUGUUGAACAUCGUAAUUGAAGAAGGCAUUCGCUUGUUUCUUAC
ensembl:lncRNA